UACGUAGGGUGCAAGCGUUGUCCGGAAUCAUUGGGCGUAAAGCGCACGUAGGUGGCCAUUUAAGUCCGCUGUGAAAGUCAAAGGCUCAACCUUUGAAAGCCGGUGGAUACUGGAUGGCUAGAGUACGGAAGAGGCGAGUGGAAUUCCUGGUGUAGCGGUGGAAUGCGCAGAUAUCAGGAGGAACACCAAUAGCGAAGGCAGCUCGCUGGGACGUUACUGACACUGAGGCGCGAAAGCGUGGGGAGCGAACAGG
rnacentral:rRNA from 1 species